UACAGAGGCCUCGAGCGUUAGGCGGAAUCACUGGGCUUAAAGCGUGUGUAGGUGGAUGCCUAAGUGCCUUGUGAAAUCCCAUGGCUUAACCAUGGAAUUGCUUGGCAUACUGGGUGUCUUGAGCCACUCAGGGGCUACUGGAACAAACGGUGGAGCGGUGAAAUGCGUAGAUAUCGUGAGGAACACCAGAGGCGAAGGCGGCUACCUGGACAAUUGCUGACGCUCAGGCACGAAAGCGUGGGGAGCAAAAGGG
rnacentral:rRNA from 1 species